AUUGAACGCUGGCGGCAUGCUUUACACAUGCAAGUCGAACGGUAACAGGCCGCAAGGUGCUGACGAGUGGCGAACGGGUGAGUAAUGCAUCGGAACGUGCCCAGUCGUGGGGGAUAACUAUCCGAAAGGAUAGCUAAUACCGCAUACGAUCUGCGGAUGAAAGCGGGGGACCUUCGGGCCUCGGGCGAUUGGAGCGGCCGAUGUCAGAUUAGGUAGUUGGUGGGGUAAAGGCUCACCAAGCCAACGAUCUGUAGCUGGUCUGAGAGGACGACCAGCCACACUGGGACUGAGACACGGCCCAGACUCCUACGGGAGGCAGCAGUGGGGAAUCUUGGACAAUGGGGGCAACCCUGAUCCAGCGAUGCCGCGUGGGUGAAGAAGGCCUUCGGGUUGUAAAGCCCUUUAGGUUGGGAAGAAGUUCAUAGGCUGAAUAAUCUUAUGGAUUGACGGUACCAACAGAAUAAGCACCGGCAAACUCUGUGCCAGCCGCCGCCGUAACAC
rnacentral:rRNA from 1 species